rnacentral:other from 1 species
GUUCGGCUACGGCGUUGGUGACUGCCAACAAUGUUUUCUGAUCUAUGUUUUUCAUUCGUAGGGUAUCGAGAUGCCUGAGGCGGCAGUAUACCGAGCUUGUCCUAAUAGGGCUUGUACUCGGAAACUAUAAGCCUACAGCCGAGAUUCCCACCUGGUCACCCCAGGUCAAAAACUGAGGUAAGACGGCGCUGCGGUCGAACU